CUGUGAGAAGUGCCAUCCCCUGGUCCUUGGAGGGAGGUUGUCCAUAGUGAGUUUGCAUUAAUUAAUGAUGCCCAAUGCAGGGUCGACCUCUUUUCUGUGUCACAUCUC
rnacentral:pre_miRNA from 14 species